GUUAUAUUUCAAAUGUGAGCUGAAUGAAUGGGCUCUCUGUCACUGCACCUCUGCUGCUCGCACUAAGCAGAUUUUCGUUUACUGA